AACGAACGCUGGCGGCAGGCUUAACACAUGCAAGUCGAACGAGAUCUUCGGAUCUAGUGGCAGACGGGUGAGGAACACGUGGGAACAUCCCUUUCAGUUCGGAAUAACGUUGGGAAACUAACGCUAAUACCGGAUACGUCCUUCGGGAGAAAGAUUGAUCGCUGAAAGAUUGGCCCGCGUCUGAUUAGCUAGUUGGUGGGGUAAUGGCACACCAAGGCUACGAACAGUAGCUGAUCUGAGAGCAUGAUCAGCCACAUUGGGACUGAGACACGGCCCAAACUCCUACGGGAGGCAGCAGUGGGGAAUAUUGGACAAUGGGGGCAAGCCUGAUCCAGCCAUGCCGCGUGAGGGAUGACGGUCUUCGGGUUGUAAAGCUCUUUUGUCCGGGAAGAUAAUGACUGUACCGGAAGAAUAAGCCCCGGCAAACUUCGUGCCAGCCGCCGCAGUAA
rnacentral:rRNA from 1 species